UCUGCAGAGGCCAGGGUGCGCCUGCCACGAAUCCCCAGGCACCGGUGGCCGCCGCGGCCCGAGUAGCUCGGCGGGUAAACAUGGCCGCACUGACGACGGUUGUGGUAGCGGCUGCGGCCACCGCGGUAGCCGGGGCUGUGGCAGGGGCGGGCGCGGCCACCGGGACCGGCGUGGGAGCGACGCCAGCGCCUCAACAGAGUAAUUAACAUGGAAAAAGAUAAACACAGUCAUUUCUACAACCAAAAAAGUGACUUCAGAAUUGAGCAUAGUAUGCUAGAAGAAUUGGAAAAUAAAUUGAUUCACAGCAGGAAAACAGAAAGAGCAAAAAUCCAGCAACAAUUGGCCAAAAUACAUAAUAAUGUAAAGAAACUUCAGCAUCAAUUAAAAGAUGUGAAGCCUACACCUGAUUUUGUUGAGAAGCUCAGAGAAAUGAUGGAAGAAAUUGAAAAUGCAAUUAACACUUUUAAAGAAGAGCAGAGGUUGAUAUAUGAAGAGCUAAUUAAAGAAGAGAAGACAACUAAUAAUGAGUUGAGUGCCAUAUCAAGAAAAAUUGACACAUGGGCUUUGGGUAAUUCAGAAACAGAGAAAGCUUUCAGAGCAAUCUCAAGCAAAGUUCCUGUAGACAAAGUAACACCAAGUACUCUUCCAGAAGAGGUACUAGAUUUUGAAAAAUUCCUUCAGCAAACAGGAGGGCGACAAGGUGCCUGGGAUGAUUAUGAUCACCAGAACUUUGUAAAGGUGAGAAACAAACAU
rnacentral:lncRNA from 1 species